UAGGAGUCCGGAAGGAGGCCGCUGACUGUAGAAGUUCUACUGUCGGAGAAGCCCGAACAUUGACGAAGUUUGGAAGAAGCUCGGAGUAAAGUGGAUCAUGACAGGAGAAAGUCUGGAAGAGAUUCGGAGAGUAGUCGAUCACUGUAGAAUAAUCGACUGAUAGUGAAGCCCUGAGAGUAUUUGGAGCAGUUCGAUAGAUGAC
rnacentral:lncRNA from 1 species